GACUCGUUAGCGGAUGGCCCGCGCCUACUUUCAAUACAGUCGAGGAACUCCUCGGAGCAAGUGAAGCAGGAGGAACCUGGUUCGACUCCGGGACGAGUCG